rnacentral:rRNA from 1 species
AGCGAACGCUGGCGGCGUGCUUAACACAUGCAAGUCGAGCGAAGGUGUUUCGAAGGGUAACCUUGAGAUACACUUAGCGGCGGACGGGUGAGUAAUACGUGGAUAACUUACCUCUAGGCCUGGGAUAACCCCGGGAAACUGGGGCUAAUACCUGAUAAGACCACAUUGUCUACGGACAAAGGGGUAAAAGUGGCUGUGCAAACAGCUAUCGCCAAAAGAUAGGUUCACGUCCCAUCAGGCAGUUGGUGAGGUAAUGGCUCACCAAACCAAGACGGGUAGCCGGCCUUGGCGGGUGAACGGCCACACGGGGACUGAGACACGGCCCCGA